rnacentral:rRNA from 1 species
AGAGUUUGAUCCUGGCUCAGGAUGAACGCUGGCGGUAUGCCUAACACAUGCAAGUCGAACGAUGUCUUAGGACAUAGUGGCGGACGGGUGAGUAACGCGUGAGAAUCUGCCUCUAGGAUGGGGAUAACGGUUGGAAACGACCGCUAACACCCAAUAUGCCGUAAGGUGAAAAAUUUAUUGCCUGGAGAGGAGCUCGCGUCUGAUUAGCUAGUUGGUGGGGUAAGAGCUCACCAAGGCCUCGAUCAGUAGCUGGUCUGAGAGGAUGAGCAGCCACACUGGGACUGAGACACGGCCCAGACUCCUACGGGAGGCAGCAGUGGGGAAUUUUCCGCAAUGGGCGAAAGCCUGACGGAGCAAUACCGCGUGAGGGAGGAAUGCCUUUGGGUUGUAAACCUCUUUUCUCAGGGAAGAAGAUCUGACGGUACCUGAGGAAUAAGUAUCGGCUAACUCCGUGCCAGCAGCCGCGGUAAUACGGAGGAUGCAAGCGUUAUCCGGAAUCAUUGGGCGUAAAGCGUCCGCAGGUGGUUUCCAAAGUCUGCUGUUAAAGACUGGAGCUCAACUCCGGAACGGCGGUGGAAACUUGGAAACUAGAGUUCGGUAGGGGUAGCAGGAAUUCCCAGUGUAGCGGUGAAAUGCGUAGAUAUUGGGAAGAACAUCGGUGGCGAAGGCGUGCUACUGGACCGUAACUGACACUCAGGGACGAAAGCUAGGGGAGCGAAAGGGAUUAGAUACCCCUGUAGUCCUAGCUGUAAACGAUGGAAACUAGGUGUGGCUUGUAUCGACCCGAGCCGUGCCGUANCU